UAAAGGUUGCCACUUUUGUCGCCCUUUGGAUUGCCAUUGCCAGUACCAUCAUGGUUGCCGUAGCACAGGAUGAUGACGAUCCGAAGACAGACGACUAAAAUGUGCCACACAGAGACACAGAUGACCAUUCAGCACACAGAAACCGGAACCGAUUUGUUAAAAAUGGCAAUACCUACACCAAUUUCUGCACUGCACUUGCAAUAAAAAAGUUAAAAAAUA